rnacentral:lncRNA from 1 species
UUGUAAGGCCUGUGAUUUUUCAUCCACCACAGAACUUCAAUAUGACUGAGCUCCUGGAAUUUUAGGAACAUCCCCUUAGAAGAAAGACCAUGAGCAAUGGCCUUCAUGAACUAUCUCUGAGCUAACCCAGGGCCUGUCUCAGAGAAGGACCUCGGUAAUUAGGUGUUGAAUGAACGAGGGAUACUGGUUCUGGAUUCUUCCGCAGAGACUUUCAGGUGCAGCACUCCGGGUUGAGGUAGCUUGUUUCUCUCACUAGGUCUUCUCUUGGUUAUCAUUCUGCAUCCCCUGUGAUGGUUCAGUUGAGGAAGUGCCCAUCAAUUAAGGAAAAGCAUCCUUGCUGAGAGUGUAGCAUUUAACUUUAAUGCGGAGAAAGAGGGAAGAAUAGUAAUUGUGGCAAGAAUAAAACUAGGCUUUUUUCUAACAAAACCCCUGCCAGUAUCAUCCAUGAUUGCCCAGGACUGUGGCAUGAGGAAACGACCAUAUUAUCAUUGAGAAACUUAGGAGCUCCCAUUCCUUUCCUAAGUCAGCUGACAGGAUCUGCAGUUUGAUUCUCUCUCUGUUUCUCCACUAUGUCAAGAACCCAGCAUCCUAAGCACUCAGAGAACACUGGCCUGGGACUAAAGGGAAAAGGAGGACUAUUUAUCAAGAAACUCAAAAGACAAAGACAGCUCCUAGGAGGUUCUCAUUUAACCAAAUGGAUAGAAAUCAGAUCACUGCUGAACAUCUAGUUGGAACUGACUUUACCGCUCUAUUCAAACGGUGAAGCCUUCCUUCUUCCAACAGACCGUGCGGCAGAAAGAAUUAUGGGCAAGGAUCUGUGACUGCUUAACUUUUGCCUGGAGGCCCAGCUCAGGGGUUCAGCUGUCCUGUUCCUCAGUGUCACAUCUUCCACAAAGCCAUUCACCCUUUAAGGAUUCUUUGAGCACUCAUCCUGUGCCAGGUGCUAAGCUGAGCACCUGGGAUUUGGAGGACAGGAAGACACAGUCCCACAAGCAGAAGAGAAGCCUUUCCCAAGCCUUCUCUCAGAGUGAGCACUGCCCCAGAAUCCCUUAGCCUAUGAUCGGCAUCUUUUGGGCACCUUUCCUUUCCACCUUGUUUCACCUUUGUCUUCUACUUCCAGUCCUCUUACACCAGGCCAUCUGUGCCUUGAGGGCUGCCUCAGAAUCUCCCACAGCAUGAGGCAGAAUGAGUGGUAACCAGCAGAAGCUCAAUAAAUAUUUAUGGAAUGACUGGCUAAAUGUAAUUACUACCAGAGAAGCA